rnacentral:rRNA from 1 species
UACGAAGGGGGCUAGCGUUGCUCGGAAUUACUGGGCGUAAAGCGAGUGUAGGUGGUUGUCCAAGUUGGAUGUGAAAGCCUUGAGCUUAACUCAAGAAAUGCAUUCAGGACUGGGCGACUAGAGGACCGGAGAGGAUAGUGGAAUUCCCAGUGUAGUGGUGAAAUACGUAGAGAUUGGGAAGAACACCAGUGGCGAAGGCGGCUAUCUGGACGGUUUCUGACACUAAGACUCGAAAGCGUGGGGAGCAAACAGG